rnacentral:rRNA from 1 species
UACGAAGGGGACUAGCGUUGUUCGGAAUCACUGGGCGUAAAGCGCACGUAGGCGGAUUUGUAAGUCAGGGGUGAAAUCCUGGAGCUCAACUCCAGAACUGCCUUUGAUACUGGGGAUCUCGAGUCCGGAAGAGGUGAGUGGAACUCCGAGUGUAGAGGUGAAAUUCGUAGAUAUUCGGAAGAACACCAGUGGCGAAGGCGGCUCACUGGACUGGUAUUGACGCUGAGGUGCGAAAGCGUGGGGAGCAAACAGG